rnacentral:lncRNA from 1 species
UUUCGGUGGCAGUGAAAGGUGACGGAUGUGAUUCGCAUCAGGAGGCAAAUUUGAAACCUGUGAUAUUAUGAACGUCUAAAGAAAUGAUUUUAAUAUUUAAGAAUAAAGAAACAGGAAAUAAAAUACUAAAA